ensembl:snoRNA
GGUGCAUGUGAUGACACUGUUUAGCGACCAAAGUCUGAUACAGAUGAUUGCUGUUUUACUGUCUGAUGCACC